UUUAGUUUAAUUUUCUCUCUGGUUGAAGAGUACAGCGCACAUUUUCCCCUUUUAGCCAUGGUUAUGUGAGUACACAACUGGAUUCCAUUGACUUGAGGAACUUGCAAAAUAUUUACCUUGCUCCUGUAAGUCUGGCUUUUUGUCAUUGAAAUAAGCCAUUCUCUUAGUAUUUUUGUUUUGUACAGUAAAAAUUUGAAUACAGUAAUUACAAACAUUAGUAGUGCUGCUAUGUAUCUCUAAAAUGAAUCUCAUCUAUUUCCAAUCUGCUGACAAAUUAACUAAACACUGAUGUGUUCAGUGAUAUGGCACUGUAAAGUUUAUCUUGGACUCAUAUUGUCCUGAUUAUAUGGGAAGUACAGUUUACAUCCACAGAUAAACAUGUGGCUCCUCAGAAUGAAGAACCACAUGAACAGACAAUAUACCUCUUUUUAAUUCUGUGGACUUGGUCCCAAAACCCGGAAUUAGAUUAAAUACCUAUUGAUAAAAAUUGUUCCCUUUGUGGUGUUUCUGCCAUGGAAGAUGCAACUACUUUUGCUGCAAUUUUGCAAGCUUAUAUUUACAGUAUUUUUAAAUUUUGCAGAAAACUUCCUACCAUGUCAAACAUAAAUGAUUUUUUUUUUCCUGGCUGGACACAAGAUUACUAUUUGUAUAUCAUGACAUGGUUCUGGGUGAUCUUCCAAAAAUGUCCAGACUGGGAUAAGAUAAAAGGUUGAAAUAAUAAUUGUGUAGUUCAAUAUUUAAUGUAAUAAAAUAUUUUUUUCUCAUGA